AGUCGUAACAAGGUUUCCGAAGGUGAACCUGCGGAAGGAUCAUUAAAAAAAAAAAAGUUGUGCGAGGCGGUCCCAGGCAUUGCCAGGUGGCCGCUUAGACAUCAACACCCUCUGUAUAUCUACUGCGUUGCUUUGGCGGGACGGCAGCCAACAGCUCUGCUGNNAGGCUGUCCGCAGGGCCUCUCAAGACCCCGCGAGUGCCCGCCAGAGGACCACCGAACUCAAUGUUAAACCAUGAUGUCUGAGCUUUACAAGCAAUAAGUUAAAACUUUCAACAACGGAUCUCUUGGUUCUCGCAUCGAUGAAGAACGCAGCGAAAUGCGAUAAGUAAUGUGAAUUGCAGAAUUCAGUGAAUCAUCGAAUCUUUGAACGCAUAUUGCGCCCCUUGGUAUUCCGAGGGGCAUGCCUUUUCGAGCGUCAUUACAACCUUCAAGCUCUGCUUGGUAUUGGGCCUCCGUCCCCACGCGGGCGGGCCUUAAAGUCAUCAGCGGCUGAGCGCACAGCUUCUAGCGUAGUAGAAAUUAACUCGCUGGGGGAGCUGGCGUCAGGUAGCUGUCAAACACGCGCUUCGUGCACAUCUUAGGUUGACCUCGGAUAAGGUAGGGAUACCCGCUGAACUUAAGCAUAUCAAUAAGCGGAGGAAAAGAAACCAACAGGGAUUGCCUCAGUAACGGCGAGUGAAGCGGCAACAGCUCAAAUUUGAAAUCUGGCCCUUUCAGGGCCCGAGUUGUAAUUUGGAGAGGAUGCUUCGGCUGCGGCCCUGGUCUAAGUUCCUUGGAACAGGACGUCACAGAGGGUGAGAACCCCGUACGUGGCUGGGCGCCUACGCCAUGUGAAGCUCCUUCGACGAGUCGAGUUGUUUGGGAAUGCAGCUCUAAACGGGAGGUAGAUUUCUUCUAAAGCUAAAUACCGGCGAGAGACCGAUAGCGCACAAGUAGAGUGAUCGAAAGAUGAAAAGCACUUUGGAAAGAGAGUUAAAAAGUACGUGAAAUUGUUGAAAGGGAAGCGCUUGCAACCAGACUUGGGCGUAGUUGCUUAGCUGGGCUUCUGCCCGGUGCACUCUUCUGCGCCCAGGCCAGCAUCAGUUCAGGCGGCCGGAUAAAGGCCUUGGGAAUGUAGCUCCCCUCGGGGAGUGUUAUAGCCCUAGGCGCAACGCGGCCUGCCCGGACUGAGGUCCGCGCUUCGGCUAGGAUGCUGGCGUAAUGGUUGUAAGCGGCC
rnacentral:rRNA from 1 species